GUCUCCUUAGUUCAGUGGCAGAGCGCUGGUCUAGUAAUCCAGAGGCCAUGAGUUCGAUUCUCACAGAAGGCA